ensembl:lncRNA ABCC6P1 ATP binding cassette subfamily C member 6 pseudogene 1
AGACAGACGCUGGGACCCACGACGACAGAAGGCGCCGAUGGCCGCGCCUGCUGAGCCCUGCGCGGGGCAGGGGGUCUGGAACCAGACAGAGCCUGAACCUGCCGCCACCAGCCUGCUGAGCCUGUGCUUCCUGAGAACAGCAGGGGUCUGGGUACCCCCCAUGUACCUCUGGGUCCUUGGUCCCAUCUACCUCCUCUUCAUCCACCACCAUGGCCGGGGCUACCUCCGGAUGUUCCCCACUCUUCAAAGCCAAGAUGGUGCUUGGAUUCGCCCUCAUAGUCCUGUGUACCUCCAGCGUGGCUGUCGCUCUUUGGAAAAUCCAACAGGGAACGCCUGAGGCCCCAGAAUUCCUCAUUCAUCCUACUGUGUGGCUCACCACGAUGAGCUUCGCAGUGUUCCUGAUUCACACCAAGAGGAAAAAGGGAGUCCAGUCAUCUGGAGUGCUGUUUGGUUACUGGCUUCUCUGCUUUGUCUUGCCAGCUACCAACGCUGCCCAGCAGGCCUCCGGAGCGGGCUUCCAGAGCGACCCUGUCCGCCACCUGUCCACCUACCUAUGCCUGUCUCUGGUGGUGGCACAGUUUGUGCUGUCCUGCCUGGCGGAUCAACCCCCCUUCUUCCCUGAAGACCCCCAGCAGUCUAACCCCUGUCCAGAGACUGGGGCAGCCUUCCCCUCCAAAGCCACGUUCUGGUGGGUUUCUGGGCACAACAAGGCAAUAGCAUUUAAAAGGAAAGGCGGCAGUGGCAUGGAGGCUCCAGAGACUGAGCCCUUCCUACGGCAAGAAGGGAGCCAGUGGCGCCCACUGCUGAAGGCCAUCUGGCAGGUGUUCCAUUCUACCUUCCUCCUGGGGACCCUCAGCCUCGUCAUCAGUGAUGUCUUCAGGUUCACUGUCCCCAAGCUGCUCAGCCUUUUCCUGGAGUUUAUUGGUGAUCCCAAGCCUCCAGCCUGGAAGGGCUACCUCCUCGCCGUGCUGAUGUUCCUCUCGGCCUGCCUGCAAACGCUGUUUGAGCAGCAGAACAUGUACAGGCUCAAGGUGCUGUAGAUGAGGCUGCGGUCGGCCAUCACUGGCCUGGUGUACAGAAAGGCAUCCACAGCAUAUCUGAAGAAAUAUUCAGAAGUUAACUAAUCUCAGAUGAUUUCAGCAGGAGUAAAGAAGAGAAACAGACUCAGAAAUGCCAUUACAACAGUUAAUUAUGUCAAAUUUAUCACCCUGAUUGAUCACGCAGCAUUAACCUCAAGAACGCCAAGCCAAGUUUUUUUGACAAAUGUGAGCCAAGGUUUCCGAAAAACUAGCAGAUAUGACUGUGACUUACAAAAUGGAAAAAGUAAACGAGAAACACAAUUUGAUAUGAUUUAAUAAAAGAUUUGUUUCCACCA